UGGGGUAUAUUGCACAAUGGGCGCCAGCCUGAUGCAGCCAUGCCGCGUGUAUGAAGAAGGCCUUCGGGUUGUAAAGUACUUUCAGCGGGGAGGAAGGGAGUAAAGUUAAUACCUUUGCUCAUUGACGUUACCCGCAGAAGACGCACCUGCUAACUCCGUGCCAGCAGCCGCGGUAAUACGGUGGGUGCAAGCGUUAAUCGGAAUUACUGGGCGUAAAGCGCACGCAGGCGGUUUGUUAAGUCAGAUGUGAAAUCCCCGGGCUCAACCAGGGAACUACAUCUGAUACUGGAAAGCUUGAGUAGCGUAGAAGGGGGUAGAAGUACAGGUGUAGCGGUGAAGUGCGUAGAGAACUGGAGGAAUACCGGUGGCGAAGGCGGCCCCCUGGACGAAGACUGACGCUCAGGUGCGAAAGAGUGGGGAGCAAACAGG
rnacentral:rRNA from 1 species